rnacentral:rRNA from 1 species
CCUACGGGAGGCAGCAGUGGGGAAUAUUGCACAAUGGGGGAAACCCUGAUGCAGCGACGCCGCGUGAGUGAAGAAGUAUUUAGGUAUGUAAAGCUCUAUCAGCAGGGAAGAAAAUGAUGGUACAUGAUUAAGAAGCCGCGGCUAACUACGUGCCAGCAGCGGCCGUAAUACGUAGGGGGCAAGCGUUGUCCGGAUUUACUGGGUGUAAAGGGAGCGUAGACGGCAGCACAAGUCUGGAGUGAAAUGCCGGGGCUUAAACCCGGAACUGCUUUGGAAACGGUUCAGCUAGAGUGCAGGAGAGAGAAGUGGAAUUCCUAGGGUAGCGGUGAAAUGCGGAGAUAUUAGGAGGAACACCAGUGGCGAAGGCGGCUUACUGGACUGUAACUGACGUUGAGGCUCGAAAGCGUGGGGAGCAAACAGGAUUAGAUACCCCUGUAGUC